GGUUGUAGCUCAGUGGUAGAGCGCUCACCUAGCAUGUGUGAAACACUGGGUUCAAUCCUCAGUGCCA
rnacentral:tRNA from 1 species